rnacentral:rRNA from 1 species
CCUACGGGUGGCUGCAGUGAGGAAUAUUGGUCAAUGGACGAGAGUCUGAACCAGCCAAGUAGCGUGAAGGAUGACUGCCCUAUGGGUUGUAAACUUCUUUUAUAUGGGAAUAAAAUGUUCCACGUGUGGGAUUUUGUAUGUACCAUAUGAAUAAGGAUCGGCCAACUCCGUGCCAGCAGCCGCGGUAAUACGGAGGAUCCGAGCGUUAUCCGGAAUUAUUGGGUUUAAAGGGAGCGUAGGUGGAUUGUUAAGUCAGUUGUGAAAGUUUGCGGCUCAACCGUAAAAUUGCAGUUGAAACUGGCAGUCUUGAGUACAGUAGAGGUGGGCGGAAUUCGUGGUGUAGCGGUGAAAUGCUUAGAUAUCACGAAGAACUCCGAUUGCGAAGGCAGUUCACUGGACUGCAACUGACACUGAGGCUCGAAAGUGUGGGUAUCAAACAGGAUUAGAUACCCUUGUAGUC